GCUUUGAAAGCGCUCCGGCUUUGCUUUGAUGCGCUUGUUGCGGUCCAGCAUGUGCAGGAUGCCAUUCUGUGUGUAUCUGAAGAGUUGGGGAGGUCAAGGAACACAACAGGAGCAAAAGAAACACUUCAAGGUGCAGUCAGCUAACUAAAGACACUCCCUCAUGGGGCCAAUGAAAGACAACGGUCCCGUGUGUGUCAUCACGACCAAAAUCUGACAGCAGAGGUCUCUUUGUGGUACGGCCUGAGCGCUGACUGUGACCAGGUACUGAGUGCCCGGCUCCAGGCCUGUCAGUAAGGUAGAGUUCUGCUGGCUGGGUAAGGUCACGGUGCGGACGUGUCCACUUGGAAAAGCUCCAUACUCCAC